rnacentral:rRNA from 1 species
AGAUGGGAGCUUGCUCCCUGAUGUUAGCGGCGGACGGGUGAGUAACACGUGGGUAACCUGCCUGUAAGACUGGGAUAACUCCGGGAAACCGGGGCUAAUACCGGAUGGUUGUUUGAACCGCAUGGUUCAGACAUAAAAGGUGGCUUCGGCUACCACUUACAGAUGGACCCGCGGCGCAUUAGCUAGUUGGUGAGGUAACGGCUCACCAAGGCGACGAUGCGUAGCCGACCUGAGAGGGUGAUCGGCCACACUGGGACUGAGACACGGCCCAGACUCCUACGGGAGGCAGCAGUAGGGAAUCUUCCGCAAUGGACGAAAGUCUGACGGAGCAACGCCGCGUGAGUGAUGAAGGUUUUCGGAUCGUAAAGCUCUGUUGUUAGGGAAGAACAAGUGCCGUUCAAAUAGGGCGGCACCUUGACGGUACCUAACCAGAAAGCCACGGCUAACUACGUGCCAGCAGCCGCGGUAAUACGUAGGUGGCAAGCGUUGUCCGGAAUUAUUGGGCGUAAAGGGCUCGCAGGCGGUUUCUUAAGUCUGAUGUGAAAGCCCCCGGCUCAACCGGGGAGGGUCAUUGGAAACUGGG